rnacentral:rRNA from 1 species
GUCAAGCGAUGAAGCGCAUACGGUGGAUGCCUAGGCAGUCAGAGGCGAUGAAAGACGUGGAAGCCUGCGAUAAGGUUCGGCGAGGUGGCAAACGACCUGCGACCCGGACAUCUCUGAAUGGGGAAACCCACCCAAGGUAACUUGGGUAUCUCAUGUUGAAUAUAUAGACAUGAGAGGCGAACCGGGGGAACUGAAACAUCUAAGUACCCCGAGGAAAAGAAAUCAACCGAGAUUCCCCUAGUAGCGGCGAGCGAACGGGGACCAGCCCUUAAGCAACACAACUGGUAGGUGAACAGAUUGGGAAAUCUGGCCAUAGUGGGUGAUAGCCCCGUAACCGAAACCUGAGUGUUGUGAAAUCGAGUAGGUCGAGGCACGUGAAACCUUGACUGAAGACGGGGGGACCAUCCUCCAAGGCUAAAUACUCCUGACUGACCGAUAGUGAACCAGUACCGUGAGGGAAAGGCGAAAAGAACCCCGGAGAGGGGAGUGAAAUAGAUCCUGAAACCGUAUGCGUACAAGCAGUGGGAGCCAACUUGUUUGGUGACCGCGUACCUUUUGUAUAAUGGGUCAGCGACUUAUUUUCAGUGGCGAGCUUAACCGUAUAGGGGAGGCGUAGAGAAAUCGAGUCUUAACUGGGCGACCAGUCGCUGGAAAUAGACCCGAAACCGGGCGAUCUAUCCAUGAGCAGGUUGAAGGUUGAGUAACAUCAACUGGAGGACCGAACCAGGAUCUGUUGAAAAAGAUUUGGAUGACUUGUGGAUCGGAGUGAAAGGCUAAUCAAGCCCGGAGAUAGCUGGUUCUCCUCGAAAGCUAUUUAGGUAGCGCCUCACGUAUCACCGCCGGGGGUAGAGCACUGUUUCGGCUAGGGGGUCAUCCCGACUUACCAACCCGAGGCAAACUCCGAAUACCGGUGAGUGCAAGCGUGGGAGACACACAGCGGGUGCUAACGUCCGUUGUGAAAAGGGAAACAACCCAGACCGUCAGCUAAGGUCCCGAAAUCCUGGUUAAGUGGGAAACGAUGUGGGAAGGCUUAGACAGCUAGGAGGUUGGCUUAGAAGCAGCCAUCCUUUAAAGAAAGCGUAAUAGCUCACUAGUCGAGUCGGCCUGCGCGGAAGAUGUAACGGGGCUCAAACCAGGUACCGAAGCUACGGGUUCGCCGAAUGGCGAGCGGUAGAGGAGCGUCGUGUAAGCCGAUGAAGGUGUGUUGAGAAGCAUGCUGGAGGUAUCACGAGUGCGAAUGCUGACAUGAGUAACGACAAGGGGAGUGAAAAACUCCCCCGCCGGAAGACCAAGGGUUUCUGUUCGACGCUAAUCGGAGCAGAGUGAGUCGGCCCCUAAGGCGAGGCCGAAAGGCGUAGUCGAUGGGAAACGGGUCAAUAUUCCCGUACCUCACAGUAUUGCGAUGGGGGGACGAAGAAGGCUAGGUGAGCCAGGCGUUGGUUGUCCUGGUGAAAGCCGGUAGGCUGAGGAUUCAGGUAAAUCCGGAUCCUUAAGGCCGAGAGGCGAGACGAACUGACUACGGUCAGGAAGUCAUCGAUGCCACGCUUCCAGGAAAAGCCUCUAAGCUUCAGAUACUGUGAGACCGUACCCCAAACCGACACAGGUGGUCAGGUAGAGAAUACCAAGGCGCUUGAGAGAACUCGGGUGAAGGAACUCGGCAAAAUUGUACCGUAACUUCGGGAGAAGGUACGCCUCUGUUUGUGAACACUUCGCGUGGUAAGCAAAUGGAGGCCGCAGUGACCAGGUGGCUGGGACUGUUUAUUAAAAACACAGCACUCUGCAAACUCGUAAGAGGACGUAUAGGGUGUGACACCUGCCCGGUGCCGGAAGGUUAAUUGAUGGGGUUAGUUUUCGGACGAAGCUCUUGAUCGAAGCCCCGGUAAACGGCGGCCGUAACGAUAACGGUCCUAAGGUAGCGAAAUUCCUUGUCGGGUAAGUUCCGACCCGCACGAAAGGUGUAACGAUCUGCGUACUGUCUCGGAGAGAGACUCGGCGAAAUAGACUUGUCUGUGAAGAUGCGGACUACCUGCACCUGGACAAAAAGACCCUAUGAAGCUUUACUGUAGCUUGAGAUUGGCUCCGGGCUUUAUUUGCGCAGGAUAGGUGGGAGGCGUUGAAAAUUUCCUUGCGGGGGAAUUUGAGCCAUUGGUGAGAUACCACUCUAAUAAAGCUAGGAUUCUAACCCUAUACCGUUAUCCGGUUAGGGAACAGUCUCAGGUGGUCAGUUUGACUGGGGCGGUCGCCUCCUAAAAGGUAACGGAGGCGUGCAAAGGUUUCCUCAGACUGGUCGGAAAUCAGUCGAAGAGUGUAAAGGCAUAAGGAAGCUUGAUUGUGAGACCUACAAGUCGAACAAAGACGAAAGUCGGCCUUAGUGAUCCGGCGGUACCAAGUGGAAGGGCCGUCGCUCAACGGAUAAAAGUUACUCUAGGGAUAACAGGCUGAUCUCCCCCAAGAGCUCACAUCGACGGGGGGGUUUGGCACCUCGAUGUCGGCUCGUCACAUCCUGGGGCUGGAGAAGGUCCCAAGGGUUCGGCUGUUCGCCGAUUAAAGUGGUACGUGAGCUGGGUUUAAAACGUCGUGAGACAGUUUGGUCCCUAUCUGCCGUGGGCGUUGGAGAUUUGAGAAGCGCUGCUCCUAGUACGAGAGGACCGGAGUGGACGUACCUCUGGUGUUCCGGUUGUCACGCCAGUGGCAUUGCCGGGUAGCUAUGUACGGACGGGAUAACCGCUGAAAGCAUCUAAG